UGACAGAUGCCACUGUUGCCACUUUGAAAU
rnacentral:piRNA from 1 species